CAAAGUUAAGUUAUAGAUUAACCUCUAUAUAUCUUA
rnacentral:tRNA from 1 species